AUGAGUUCAUUAAAGUACUCAUCCCCUGCUAUAGAAGAGGAGGUCUGCUGUUUGCAGAAAGAAGCUCUGGCAAUGAACAUUGAAGAAGAGGUUACAGUGAAAGAAGAGAAAGAACCUUUUAGAAUGAAAAAGGAGGAAGAGGAGACUGUUAUAGUGGAAAAACAUUUCCGAAUGAAAAAGGAGGAAGAGGAGACUGUUAUAGUGAAAGAAGAAGAUGCUGUUAUAGUGGAAGAACAUUUCAGAAUGAAAAAGGAGGAAGAGGAGGCUGUUAUAGUGAUAGAAGAGAAUGAACCUUUUAGAGAGGAAGAGGAUGCUGUCUCAAUAAAGGUGAAGGAGGAAGACGUUUUGGGAGUGAAAGAGGAGGAGACAGAAUAUCCGAUUACCAUCAGAGAGAGACAUGACUAUGGUGGAUCCUCUGGGGAGCCUCAACAACAUCCUGAUGCUGACGAGGCAGAGAAGAGUCUCUCCAGAUCAGAACACCAGAUGGACAAUGCUAGCCCUUCCUCCCUCCCGGAGUCCCCGCGUCGUGCCUCUCCCGGUAGCACCUUACUGCUGGGUAUGAAGAGGUUGUCUGUGCUGCUGGUGGACUGCAGGAAAAAAAUGGGGCUGAGUGGAACUGUGAGAGGAGGAGAAGAGAAGAAAGGAUCAGAUUUGACUCAUCAAAGUAAGUGCUGUAGUGUUGGUUGAACAAAUACAANNNNNNNNNNACAUCUUAGUGUGUCUUGAAGUAAAUAGGAUUAUUAAUCAUAAACUCCUAUAGCAACAAUACACUGCAGCUUUGACAUCAAGAAGAGAAUGGUCUGAUGGGUGGUGGUGCUACUCUAUAGGUAAGGCUGUUCAAUAUGAAUGUUCAAAUAGUCCCCUCUAGCCGGCCUCCGCCCAGUAUCCUGCCCUGAACUUAGUCACUGUUACUAGCCGUCUACCACCCAGUACUCCACCCUGUAUUCUAGUCAAGGCUUAUCCUAUAUAACUACUACUGUACACACCUUUUAUAUUCAUAUACGGUCCAUAAUGUCUAGACACACCAUCAUAUACAUUUUAAACAAAUUGUAUAUAUUUAUAUUCCAGACUCUGACAUUCCUCCUUCUACCAUUUCUAUAUUUCUAAAUCCUUAAAAUAAAUUGUAGGGAAAAUCAGUAGGUCACACAAAUGACUAUUUCUAAACAAAGAUAAUAGACAAGUAGAAUGGGAGAGGUUUCUUAUACUAUCUAUACUUACUCGGUGAAGAGACUCCAGGGAUGGAGAUGAAGGCUGUAGGAAUGAAGAUCAGACAGUGAAGAGACUCCAGGGAUGGUGAUGAAGGCUGUAGGAAUGAAGAUCAGUCAGUGAAGAGACUCCAGGGACGGAGAUGAAGGCUGUAGGAAUGAAGAUCAGUCAGCAAUACUGGUCCUGUGGUCAGGUGGGGGAGUGGUCGAUCCAGCCAAUGAUUGUGAGGAAGCAUGCAGGGAACAGGCUCCUUUCUACUACCAUUCUGGGGUCUGGAUACAUGCCAACAAAGACCACAACUGCUUCAAACAAUGAGAGUGGCUACCAUUGACCACCACACUUUCUUUCAUAACCAGGAAGCCCAUGUUGAGCUAGCAGUGUUCCCACUAUGGAAGAGGGAGCA
rnacentral:lncRNA from 13 species